GUCGGGUUCGGGAUGAACCUGCUGACCUUUUCACCCAUCAGGACCAUCGGCCGGUCUCCGGCCUGGACGACCUGGACGCCGCGGCGACGGAACCUCUU
rnacentral:sRNA from 1 species